CUCAAAUCUUUUUCUCUCCAUUUUUCUUAUCAGAUUUUACCUCCUCUGCCUGCAAAAUUAUAGAGACGUCCUUUCAGUGGCUGAGGAGACGACACCGGUAUGUUUCAGCUAGUGAAGGCUAUAAGAGCUUGACCGUUUACGCGGUGAUGCAAUUGCAGGACAAAGAAACAAAGGUUUUUAUAGAGCUUUAAUUUGGAGCAGUUCUAUAUGGCUUUCAUCAUAACUGGGGAGAUUCAUCUCGAGUGAAGAUCUAGUAGAGGAGAUCGUCUAAUUGUCCAACCGGUCUCAAGGGUCCUAGUAUCGAGGGAAAGUCCUCGUCGGCAAUAGAUAUCUUUCUUUCUGGAGCAAUCCACCAUCACAGACUUCGAUAUGAAGAAAAAGAACAGCGUAACAAGUUUGAUAUAUUUCAAGUACAUUUUUUUUUCUAAUUGAAAUGUAUGUUUCUUGUUUCUGUUUUUUUGUUGUUUUUUUUGCGUUGUAAUUUUCUCCAUCUUCUUGAAAUCGGUAUGACAAAAUUCCCUCUUUACUUUUAUAUAUUUACAUAUAAGGAUUCUGACUAUGCUUAACACGCUAAAAUAAUUUCAGGAAUAAUUGUAAGAAAAAAAAUACCUUUAAAAUUUACUUACGUAUAAAAUUAAAGUAAAAUAGGCUACGACUUAACCUAAAAACAUUAGCUAAAGUGUAUGGAAUAAAAUUUCAAUAAAGUAUAAGUUAUAUCUAGUGUGUUGAAACACAUGACCAAAUCUAUUAGAGAUAGAGAACUGGCAAAAUCAAAUCACAAAAAA